GGCAGUUGGGGCGGGGCUAUACAUGCAAGUCGAGCGCAGGAAACCAGAUGACCCCUUCGGGGUGAUUCUGGGGGAAUGAGCGGCGGACGGGUGAGUAACACGUGGGCAACCUGCCUGUAAGACUGGGAUAACUUCGGGAAACCGGAGCUAAUACCGGAUAGUAUUUCCUUUCUCCUGAUUGGAAAUGGAAAGACGGUUUCGGCUGUCACUUACAGAUGGGCCCGCGGUGCAUUAGCUAGUUGGUGGGGUAAUGGCCCACCAAGGCGACGAUGCAUAGCCGACCUGAGAGGGUGAUCGGCCACACUGGGACUGAGACACGGCCCAGACUCCUACGGGAGGCAGCAGUAGGGAAUCUUCCGCAAUGGACGAAAGUCUGACGGAGCAACGCCGCGUGAGCGAUGAAGGCCUUCGGGUCGUAAAGCUCUGUUGUUAGGGAAGAACAAGUACGAGAGUAACUGCUCGUACCUUGACGGUACCUAACCAGAAAGCCCCGGCUAACUACGUGCCAGCAGCCGCGGUAAUACGUAGGGGGCAAGCGUUGUCCGGAAUUAUUGGGCGUAAAGGGCUCGUAGGCGGUUUCUUAAGUCUGAUGUGAAAGCCCACAGCUCAACUGUGGAGGGUCAUUGGAAACUGGGAAACUUGAGUGCAGAAGAGGAGAGUGGAAUUCCACGUGUAGCGGUGAAAUGCGUAGAUAUGUGGAGGAACACCAGUGGCGAAGGCGACUCUCUGGUCUGUAACUGACGCUGAGGAGCGAAAGCGUGGGGAGCAAACAGGAUUAGAUACCCUGGUAGUCCACGCCGUAAACGAUGAGUGCUAGGUGUUAGGGGGUUUCCGCCCCUUAGUGCUGAAGGUAACGCAUUAAGCACUCCCGCCUGGGGAGUACGGGCCGCAAGGCUGAAACUCCAAAAGAAUUUGACGGGGGGCCCGCAACAAGCGGGGGGAGCAUGGGGUUUUAAUUCCGAAGCAACGCGGAAGAACCUUACCAAGUCUUUGACAUC
rnacentral:rRNA from 1 species